UUAAAACAUCGAUAAGGGUAUACGGUGGAUGCCUUGGCACAAGAAGCCGACGAAGGACGCAGGAGCCGGCGAUACGCCUCGGGGAGCUGGCAAACAAGCUUUGAUCCGGGGAUGUCCGAAUGGGGAAACCUAUCCCGAUAAACUCGGGAUGCGCCUGUACGUGGUGUAUGGGUAGCGGGAACCAUGCGAAGUGAAACAUCUCAGUAGCAUGUGGAAAGGAAAACAACAGCUUUACGAAUUUCGAAUUGUUACGAAUUUACGAAUUCGUAUAUUCGUAAUUGAUUAGUUAUUCGUAAAGUUACAUUCCCCCAGUAGUGGCGAGCGAACGGGGAACAGCCUAAAUCAUAUUCAUGUUCGAGGAACAGCUUCCUUUUUGGAAUUUGUUCUUCAGAUAAAGGUUACAGCCGUUGUGAAUGUGGCGUUAUAAGAUCAAUUGCUUUCGUCCUGUAAGGCGAAAGGGAAUAAGAUGAGCUGUCUAGCGGAACACGCCUGGAAAGGCGGACCAGAGAAGGUGAUAGUCCUGUACACGAAAGACCUCAAACAUUCCUAGAUUGAUUCUUGAGUACGGCCAGACACGUGAAAUCUGGUCGGAAAUCGGGUCGACUACGAUCCAAGGCUAAAUACUUCUUGUGACCGAUAGUGAACAAGUACCGUGAGGGAAAGGUGAAAAGUAGCCCGGUGAGGGCAGUGAAAUAGUCCCUGAAACCGUAUAUCUACAAUGAGCGGAAGCCUAAAGCCCCAGCAAUGGGACACGGGCGACCGCGUGCCUAUUGAAGAAUGACCCAACGAGUUAACGUAUAUUGCUUGUUUAACCCCUGUCACAGGGGGAAGACAUAGUGAAAGCGAGGGUUAAUAGCCCGUAUUGAUCAAAAAUAAGAAUUUUUGAUCAAAGGUAGUAUGCGUUAGACCCGAAACCCGGUGAGCUACUCAUGGCCAGGAUGAACCCCGUGUAACAGCGGGGGGAGGUCCGAACCCACUAUUGUUGCAAAAAUAGGGGAUGAGCUGUGAGUAGGGGAGAAAUUCCAAUCGAACUGGGUGAUAGCUGGUUCUCCUCGAAAUAGCUUUAGGGCUAGCCUUCUUGAAUUUUUCCGGGGGUAAAGCACUGGAUCGGUAUCAGCGGGGCAACCCGUUGAAUCGAACCAAACUCUGAAUACCGGAAAAUAAUCAGGGGGAGUCAGACCGUGAGGUCUAAGCUUCACGCGUCCAAAGGGAAAGAACCCAGAUCGUCGUUUAAGGUCCCCAAAUCAAAGCUAUAGUGAAAAGGAUGUUUUUGUCCCAAGACAGGUAGGAGGUUGGCUUAGAGGUAGCCAUCCUUUAAAGAGUGUGUAACAACUCACUACCAAACCUUCCGCCUUCGGGCGGAGUGGGACUAAAAGCGCCGACAAUGUAUAGGGGCUAAGCUUUGUACCGAAAACACGAGUCCCCGCUUUUUUCGAAAAGCGGGGGCGGUAGAGGAGCAUUCUGACAACUGUGAAGCCUGACCCGCGAGGGCAGGUGGAGUUCGUCAGAAGAGAGAAUGUUGGGAUAAGUAAUUAUUAUGCAGGUGAGAAACCUGCACGCCGAAAAUCCAAGGUUUCCUGGGCAAUGAUUAUCAGCCCAGGGUUAGCCGGUCCUAACCGCAGUGCCUAAAGGUGCUCGCGGGAUGGCAAAGACGGUUGAUAUUCCGUCGCUACCGUUUAAUUAUCUUCGCAAGUGACGCAUCAUGGUAGGAUGAGCAGGAUCUGACUAUUCCUGUUUCUGAAUUUGUAGAGUGAUUCUCCUGGCAAAUCCGGAGAGUCUGCCUCAAGCAAUUGGGGCGAGCUUGAGAGUUUGGAAAAAUUCCGCAAGGGAAAUUUAUUUGAUCCAAGGUGCCCAGAAAAACUUCGUUGUUAAGUUGAACGGUAUCCGUACCGCAAACCGACUCUGGUGGAUGAGGAGAGAAUCCUCAGGCGAACGGGCCAAUACUCGUUCAGGAACUCGGCAAAAAAGCGGCCGUACCUUCGGUAUAAGGCCUGCCCCGUCGCAAGACGGGGUCGCAGCGAAAGACCCCUCCCGACUGUUUAUCAAAAACACAGGUCCCUGCUAAAGCGAAUAGCUGAUGUAUAGGGGCUGAUGCCUGGCCAGUGUCAGAAGGUUAAACCCGCCGCCGCAAGGUGGUGGGCCAAGCCCUGAUGAACGCCGGCGAUAACUAUAAUCGUCCUAUGGUAGCGAAAUUCCUUGUCGUGUAAGUUACGACCCGCACGAAUGGCAUAACGAGUGGGGGACUGUCUUAACGAGUAGCCCGAUGAAUUUGCAUUAUCGGUAAAGAUGCCGUUUACCCGCAGCAAGACGGAAAGACCCUAUGAAGCUUUACUAUAGCGUGUUAUUGGGUCAAGAUUUGUUCUGCUUAGAAUAGGUGGGAGACUUUGAAACCUCGCUUCCGGGCGAGGCGGAGUCGCAAUAUGAAAUACCACCCUGAAUAAAUUUUGAUUCUAACCGGUACUUAACCAGUGCUGGGACAGUGGCUCGUGGGUAGUUUAACUGGGGCGGUUGCCUCCUAAAAGGUAACGGAGGCGUUUAAAGGUCAGCUAGGCUCGGAUGGAAAUCGAGCCGAUAGCGCAAACGCAUAAGCUGGCUUAACUGCAAGGCAAGCACGCCGCGCAGGUGCGAAAGCAGAAGUUAGUGAUCCGACCAUCCAUAGUGGUAUGGUGGAAGCUCAACGGAUAAAAGCUACUCUAGGGAUAACAGGCUGAUCCGGUCCAAGAGUCCACAUCGACGACCGGGUUUGGCACCUCGAUGUCGGCUCGUCACAUCCUGGGGGUGAAGAAGCUCCCAAGGGUUAGGCUGUUCGCCUAUUAAAGUGGCACGCGAGCUGGGUUCAAAACGUCGUGAGACAGUUUGGUCCUUAUCUGCUGUGGGCGUUCGAAACUUGAGAGGAUUCAUCCCUAGUACGAGAGGACCGGGAUGAAUAGGGCUCUGGUGUACCGGUUGUGGUAUCAACUGCAUUGCCGGGUAGCUAAUCCCUAGUUAGGAUAAGCGCUGAAGGCAUAUAAGCGCGAAGCCGUCCUUAAGAUUAGGUUUCGUUGUCUCGCCGCAAGGCGAGAUAGAAGGUUCGGGGGAGACUACCCCGCAUAUAGGCUGCAGGUGUAAGAUCCGCAAGGAUUUCAGCCGAGCAGUACUAAUCAACCAAAAGUGUUUUAGUU
rnacentral:rRNA from 1 species